GAUAUCACACAGAAACUGCCUCACUCUGAGGAUGAAGAAAACUUAGAAGAACCUCCCAUUUUACACAGAUCUGCCAACAAGACCCAUACCAGAAAUAAACGAAAUAUCCGAAAUGGUCCAUUACCCAGUGGCAUUGCUAGUGGUGCCACCUAUACAAGAUGGGGAAGAAAGACAUGUCCACCAGGAGCAGAGUUAGUGUAUGACGGUGUGAUCGGUGGAUCUCUUUAUACUCACAACGGUGGAGGUAGUGAUCUGCAGUGUCUUCCCCACACCCCACAG